UGCAAGUUGCAUGGUGACGCAAAUCCGUCUUUGUGCUCAUAAUAAGAAGGGGAAAUCUAUUCCCCUCUAAAACGAAAACACAAUUAACUUCAGAGGCGAAACUUAAUCUGUAUUCGAUACUUCACCAUUUCUCAACAGAAAGCAGAACAUACAGUCAUCAUUGCUUCCUGACCCAGACUAUUGUGACAUCAUGAUAAUGCACUUCAUUUUAUCACAGAGUUGAAGAUGGAGGCAAGACUUCCUCAUUGGUAUAUGCACCAGGCCAUUCUGCUCCCAACCAGGAAAUGACUUGGAUCAAGGCAUGUGGGGGCACACUCUCUCACCU